rnacentral:rRNA from 1 species
AGCGUACACGGUGGAUGCCCUGGCAGUCAGAGGCGAUGAAGGACGUGCUAAUCUGCGAAAAGCGUCGGUAAGGUGAUAUGAACCGUUAUAGCCGGCGAUGUCCGAAUGGGGAAACCCAGUGUGAUUCGUCACACUAUCGUUAACUGAAUACAUAGGUUAACGAGGCGAACCGGGGGAACUGAAACAUCUAAGUACCCCGAGGAAAAGAAAUCAACCGAGAUUCCCCCAGUAGCGGCGAGCGAACGGGGAGCAGCCCAGAGUCUGAAUCAGCUUGUGUGUUAGUGGAACGGUCUGGAAAGUCCGACGGUACAGGGUGAUAGUCCCGUACACCAAAAUGCACAGGUUGUGAACUCGAAGAGUAGGGCGGGACACGUGGUAUCCUGUCUGAAUAUGGGGGGACCAUCCUCCAAGGCUAAAUACUCCUGACUGACCGAUAGUGAACCAGUACCGUGAGGGAAAGGCGAAAAGAACCCCGGCGAGGGGAGUGAAAAAGAACCUGAAACCGUGUACGUACAAGCAGUGGGAGCACCUUCGGGUGUGACUGCGUACCUUUUGUAUAAUGGGUCAGCGACUUAUAUUCUGUAGCAAGGUUAACCGUAUAGGGGAGCCGCAGGGAAACCGAGUCUUAACUGGGCGUUAAGUUGCAGGGUAUAGACCCGAAACCCGGUGAUCUAGCCAUGGGCAGGUUGAAGGUUGGGUAACACUAACUGGAGGACCGAACCGACUAAUGUUGAAAAAUUAGCGGAUGACUUGUGGCUGGGGGUGAAAGGCCAAUCAAACCGGGAGAUAGCUGGUUCUCCCCGAAAGCUAUUUAGGUAGCGCCUCGUGAAUUCAUCUUCGGGGGUAGAGCACUGUUUCGGCUAGGGGGUCAUCCCGACUUACCAACCCGAUGCAAACUACGAAUACCGAAGAAUGUUAUCACGGGAGACACACGGCGGGUGCUAACGUCCGUCGUGAAGAGGGAAACAACCCAGACCGCCAGCUAAGGUCCCAAAGUCAUGGUUAAGUGGGAAACGAUGUGGGAAGGCACAGACAGCCAGGAUGUUGGCUUAGAAGCAGCCAUCAUUUAAAGAAAGCGUAAUAGCUCACUGGUCGAGUCGGCCUGCGCGGAAGAUGUAACGGGGCUAAACCAUGCACCGAAGCUGCGGCAGCGACACUAUGUGUUGUUGGGUAGGGGAGCGUUCUGUAAGCCUGCGAAGGUGUGCUGUGAGGCAUGCUGGAGGUAUCAGAAGUGCGAAUGCUGACAUAAGUAACGAUAAAGCGGGUGAAAAGCCCGCUCGCCGGAAGACCAAGGGUUCCUGUCCAACGUUAAUCGGGGCAGGGUGAGUCGACCCCUAAGGCGAGGCCGAAAGGCGUAGUCGAUGGGAAACAGGUUAAUAUUCCUGUACUUGGUGUUACUGCGAAGGGGGGACGGAGAAGGCUAUGUUAGCCGGGCGACGGUUGUCCCGGUUUAAGCAUGUAGGCUGGUUGUCCAGGCAAAUCCGGAUAAUCAAGGCUGAGGUGUGAUGACGAGGCACUACGGUGCUGAAGUAACAAAUGCCCUGCUUCCAGGAAAAGCCUCUAAGCAUCAGGUAACAUCAAAUCGUACCCCAAACCGACACAGGUGGUCAGGUAGAGAAUACCAAGGCGCUUGAGAGAACUCGGGUGAAGGAACUAGGCAAAAUGGUGCCGUAACUUCGGGAGAAGGCACGCUGGUGUGUAGGUGAAGCCCCUGCGGGUGGAGCUGAGACCAGUCGAAGAUACCAGCUGGCUGCAACUGUUUAUUAAAAACACAGCACUGUGCAAACACGAAAGUGGACGUAUACGGUGUGACGCCUGCCCGGUGCCGGAAGGUUAAUUGAUGGGGUUAUCCGUAAGGAGAAGCUCUUGAUCGAAGCCCCGGUAAACGGCGGCCGUAACUAUAACGGUCCUAAGGUAGCGAAAUUCCUUGUCGGGUAAGUUCCGACCUGCACGAAUGGCGUAAUGAUGGCCAGGCUGUCUCCACCCGAGACUCAGUGAAAUUGAACUCGCUGUGAAGAUGCAGUGUACCCGCGGCAAGACGGAAAGACCCCGUGAACCUUUACUAUAGCUUGACACUGAACAUUGAGCCUUGAUGUGUAGGAUAGGUGGGAGGCUUUGAAGCGUGGACGCCAGUCUGCGUGGAGCCAACCUUGAAAUACCACCCUUUAAUGUUUGAUGUUCUAACGUUGGCCCCUGACCGGGGUUGCGGACAGUGUCUGGUGGGUAGUUUGACUGGGGCGGUCUCCUCCCAAAGCGUAACGGAGGAGCACGAAGGUUAGCUAAUCCUGGUCGGACAUCAGGAGGUUAGUGCAAUGGCAUAAGCUAGCUUGACUGCGAGCGUGACGGCGCGAGCAGGUGCGAAAGCAGGUCAUAGUGAUCCGGUGGUUCUGAAUGGAAGGGCCAUCGCUCAACGGAUAAAAGGUACUCCGGGGAUAACAGGCUGAUACCGCCCAAGAGUUCAUAUCGACGGCGGUGUUUGGCACCUCGAUGUCGGCUCAUCACAUCCUGGGGCUGAAGUAGGUCCCAAGGGUAUGGCUGUUCGCCAUUUAAAGUGGUACGCGAGCUGGGUUUAGAACGUCGUGAGACAGUUCGGUCCCUAUCUGCCGUGGGCGCUGGAGAAUUGAGGGGGGCUGCUCCUAGUACGAGAGGACCGGAGUGGACGCAUCACUGGUGUUCGGGUUGUCAUGCCAAUGGCACUGCCCGGUAGCUAAAUGCGGAAGAGAUAAGUGCUGAAAGCAUCUAAGCACGAAACUUGCCCCGAGAUGAGUUCU